rnacentral:tRNA from 1 species
GGAAAGGUGGCUCAGUUGAUAGAGUGCUUGCCUUGCAUGCAUGAGGCCCUGGGUUCAAUUCCUCAGUACCA